GAAAAAAGCAAACACUGAAUUUCCGUGUCCAACUUUAACUGUCCGUUUUAUAUGAAAUUUUUUUAUAAUUCGUAUUUUUAUUGUUGUUAGAUGAUAAAACAUGAUUAAUAUUUUAUGCGUGACUUAUUUUUUAAUUUUUUUCAUAAUUUUUUUAAAUAAGACGGACGGUCAAACGUUAGGCACGGAAACU
rnacentral:pre_miRNA from 1 species